rnacentral:rRNA from 1 species
AGGAACAUGUGGUUAAUUCGAUGAUACGCGAGGAACCUUACCUGGGCUUAAAUGUAGAGUGCAUUUUUUAGAGAUAGAAAUUCCCUUCGGGGCUCUCUGCAAGGUGCUGCAUGGUUGUCGUCAGCUCGUGCCGUGAGGUGUCGGGUUAAGUCCCAUAACGAGCGCAACCCUUAUCGUUAGUUGCCAUCUGGUAAUGCAGGGGACUCUAGCGAAACUGCCACCGUAAGGUGAGAGGAAGGUGGGGAUGACGUCAAAUCAGCACGGCCCUUAUGUCCAGGGCUACACACGUGUUACAAUGGUCGGUACAGAGGGCAGCUACCUGGUGACAGGAUGCUAAUCUCGAAAACCGGUCUCAGUUCGGAUCGAAGUCUGCAACUCGACUUCGUGAAGCUGGAUUCGCUAGUAAUCGCGCAUCAGCUAUGGCGCGGUGAAUACGUUCCCGGGCCUU